UCCCUGGUGGUCUAGUGGUGAAGACUUUGCAUUUCUAAUGCAGAGGGUAUGGGUUCGAUUCCUGAUUGGGGAA